CAAAUUUGCUUCUUGAUCAUUGAUUUGUAUCUAAGUCUAGCUAUUCUCUGUUUUUUAAUUUACAAAAAUAAUUCCAUCUUUUGUUAGUUUUGUUUCUUUUCGAUAGCGUGAUUAAGAACCCUAGAGUGUUUUCAUCUUCUUUCACUCAAUCUGUUCUCAUCUUCUAUUUGCAUGAAAUUGGAUGCAGGCUUCAUGGUUCCUUCUUUCUUAAGACGUUAGAGAAUAGAUUAGAAGUCACUGGGUUUCUUUUUUUGUAAAGAAAGCGAUAAAUUUGUCAUCUUCCCUUGUCUGGCGUAGUACACAGAAUGGAAUUUCUGAGUUUUGAAAUUUACAGUUGUUUAGCUGCAAUUCUGUUCCUCAAGAUUGAUCCCCCAUUGUGCUGUAUGGAAUAGUGGCACGGAAGAAGCCAACCCGAUUGAAGGUGCGGAUCUUUAUGUCAAGUCAGCUCUUGGACGGUGUUUCGUGCUUCUUGGGGCAUUUUAGGGCUUUAACAGUGGUACGCUCGUUUCUAUUGCCAUCCUUGUGUUACAUCCCAAUGCCUGGUGCAUACUCUAAUUUGUCAGUUAUCAGUUUCUGCAAAAUGCUUUGGUUUUCUCAAUCACAUCUGAUUGU
rnacentral:lncRNA from 1 species